GAUGAAGAACGCAGCGAAAUGCGAUAAGUAGUGUGAAUUGCAGAAUUCAGUGAAUCAUCGAAUCUUUGAACGCACAUUGCGCCCCUUGGUAUCCCGAGGGGCAUGCCUGUUCGAGCGUCAUUUCACCACUCAAGCCUGGCUUGGUGUUGGGCGACGUCCCCUUUGGGGACGCGCCUCGAAACGCUCGGCGGCGUGGCACCGGCUUUAAGCGUAGCAGAAUCUUUCGCUUUGGAAGUCGGGGCCCCGACUGCCGGAAGACCUACUCGCAAGGUUGACCUCGGAUCAGGCAGGGAUACCCGCUGAACUUAAGCAUAUCAAUAAGCGGAGGA
rnacentral:misc_RNA from 1 species